rnacentral:rRNA from 1 species
UGCGUAGGUGGUUGACUAAGUUAUCUGUGAAAUCCCUGGGCUUAACCUGGCAGGUCAGAUGAUACUGGUUGACUCGAGUAUGGGAGAGGGUAGUGGAAUUUCCGGUGUAGCGGUGAAAUGCGUAGAGAUCGGAAGGAACACCAGUGGCGAAGGCGGCUACCUGGCCUAAUACUGACACUGAGGCACGAAAGCGUGGGGAGCAAACA